GUGGAGAAGUGCUUUGGGGUUUGUGUUUUGGAGAUGGGUUUUGAGCUUUGACCAAUGUUGCUUUGCUACAAGGUUUGCAAUGGUGGAGCUAUCUGUGCUUGAUGAGCUGAAAAGCCUAAGGGCGUUUCUGAGGAAAAUGAUUAGAUGUGGGAUUUUUCCGCAGAAAAUAUUGACUUCUGUAGGCAUGAAUAUAGUGUUCCCUCAGAAAUGGAUUAAGAAGAGUUUGAAGAAAAU
rnacentral:misc_RNA from 1 species